rnacentral:rRNA from 1 species
GACGAACGCUGGCGGCGUGCUUAACACAUGCAAGUCGAACGAGGUCCACUGCGUAGCAAUACAAGGGAAGACCUAGUGGCGAACGGGUGCGUAACACGUGAGGAACUUGUCCCGGUCUCUGGGAUAACAGUUGGAAACGACUGCUAAUACCGGAUGACGUCGGAAUCUCGCAUGGGAUACUGACGAAAGGGUUACUGGGAUCGGGAGAGCCUCGCGGCCUAUCAGCUUGUUGGUGAGGUAACGGCUCACCAAGGCAUCGACGGGUAGCUGGUCUGAGAGGAUGAUCAGCCACACUGGGACUGAGACACGGCCCAGACUCCUACGGGAGGCAGCAGUGGGGAAUCUUGCGCAAUGGGCGAAAGCCUGACGCAGCAACGCCGCGUGCGGGAAGAAGGCCCUCGGGUUGUAAACCGCUUUCAGUAGGAACGAAAAUGACGGUAACCUGCAGAAGAAGGUGCGGGCCAACUACGUGCCAGCAGCCGCGGUAAU